ACCUGCAAACACAGACACAGCAGAGGGAAGACAAGGGACAGGGGACAUGAGAUUAGGGAGCUGAGCCACAGGGAUUUGACUCUGGCUGCGGGCCCACCCUGGUGCCCUGCAUCCCGUCCCUACCUGCACAGUGACAGAGGAGCACGAGGAGGACGGGGAUCCAGGCCAUGGUGACACACCCCCUUCCUAGGCCCGAGAUAGGGCUUGUCUGCCCCGGGUCUCUCUUAUCCCCUGUGCACAGGCCUCAGAGAGGAGGGGCUGCUCAUGCAAAUGGGACCCACACCUGCCUCUUCUCCAUGUGCACACACAGGGUCUGUGGCCCUUGGACACGGAGACUUCCUGAUGCACUGCGUUCCCCCUGGGUGGGCCUAGAGGCAGCAGCUGUGGGGACCACACACAGGCCAAAGUCCAGGGGAUUCCACCAGGCCCUGACGGGACACACCUGCCCUGUCCCCACAGGAAACACGGGGGCCCAGACCUGGGGCCUCCUGUCAGUGCAGGACUGCCAGCUGGAUCCCCCUUCCUGAAGAAACCCUUAGACAUCAUCUCACAGCAGCCCCUGCUGCUCUCCGGGCAAACGUCUCAUUCUUUCCACUUUCUCGUUCUUUCCCACUUCUCCCAAUGCUCUCCUUUACCUGCGUCCCUGAUGUUUGUGCUUCCACCACGUGAGACAGACCCUUCAGAGAACGAUGGAGGUGCAAUCCUGGUGUUGUCUCCCUGAACCGGGUUUUUCCUUGGGCGGGGCUAUAGUGGGAAGAACAGGAGCAAUCUUGACCCAGGACAGUCUAGGAAUCCCGGUGGAGCUGAUGACAAGAUGCAGGGAACAGAGAGCAGGGGAUCUGCCCCCACAGGGGGCUCCUAGGGGGCAGGCUGACUCUGGGUGAUGAGUGAACAGGAACUUGGUGAGCGGUCACAAACCUUCACAGAGAAGGACACAGAUUAUGGAAAAUUUUGCCUUUCUGGAGCAUGGCAGAAAGGACUCCACAAACUCUGAUGAGGCUGCUGAGGGUAUGGGGACAGAGCAGGACCCGGGAGUCCAGUAGGACCACUGCGGGGCCAUCCUGCAUCCUCCCAUCCCUGUGUUGGGAGUCUUUUCAUUCCAGCUGGGCUUCUCCUGGUCAGUGCUGCUCAUUAGAGAUUUAGUUCUGCAGGAAGUUCUAAGACAGAUUUUGGGGCAAAGAGAAUUAGAAGGCAACCCUGGGGGAUGGUUGGGGGAAGAUGACAGCAGAGAAAACAGGAAGGGUGAAAGGGGUUGUGUCCCCAAGUGGGACAGAGGGAGGUAACUGAAUGGACCGCAGGCUGUGGGAGAGGGAGUGAUGGUCCAGAGAGUUAGGUGGCUAGAGGGUGAUGCCCACAGAGACAGGAAUGCCCUGACUGACACAGGGGAAGUCAGGUGGGAGAGCAGAUGGAGGGCAGGUGGUGGGUCUGUUGUCCCCGUGUCAAACUGAGACCACGGUGUGACAUGUUGUGAGGCGUGGAAACAUCACAGACAACCAGGGCUUUAGGGACGCCUUCUGUCUCCCAUAGGAAGGAUGUGGGUGUUACAGUAUUUGCCUGACUGAUGGCUUGGCCUGCAUAACUUAUUCAGUUGGUCUCCAUCAGCAGAUUAGUGAAUGACAAUAUGGCUUUUAAUGUCAUUUGAAUAAGCAUCUCACAGGGAGCAUGUUGCUGAGGUUGCUGGCUCUGACCAUUUGUUGAUAUAUUUAGGUGCUGAACCCCCUCCCCUUCAUUAUAUGUGCAGGUGCGGAAAGGAAGCCCAGUCUUGGGGGUCACACUGGUGAGAUGGACACACACUGGGAGAGAUGGGAUGGGCACAUAGGGAUGAACCACUGCACAGCAGAAUCAGGCUAGGGAGCCUCCCUUCCCAUGGUGGUGUUGACCAUCCUCCCCCUCACUUGCUUCCCUGCUGCUCAGGGCUGAGACAUUCUGAGCCCUGGUUGCACAUCUCCAUAGAUUGAGAUCACUGUGGAAUGACACUACCCGGAGACAGCAUACAGUGCUAAUCUGCCUCAUCCUCAAGCUGGCCCCUGUGAUGGUGAGGACGGCUUUGUUACUGGAGAUGGACCUGGAGAAGUGAUCAAGGACCCGAGACAGCUCAGGUCGUGAUCGCACAGUUCCUGAGUUCAAGCCCUGCAUCGGACUUUCUGCUAUCAAUGCCAAGCCUGCUUCUGUUCCUCUGUUUCCCUCUCUCUCUGCACCCCCUCAAAAAUAAAUAAAUGUCAAAAAAAGAUUCAUAUUAAA